UUAUUAACAGUAAUAAGGUGCCAGUUCAAAUGAAAAAAAUAUUGCAUUAUUUAUUAUAUUAAACUGUAGUUUAAAACCAAGAUGCUAAAGUGUUUUUGAACAGUACCUUGGUAAAUAUUACAGUUUUUUACAAUUGCUAGGACACAUUUCUCCAUACUUUGAUGACUUUUUCAAAACUCUUCACACAGUGAGCACAUAUGUGUGAGCUAAACUGUGGAUCAUUUAUCAUUGCUCUGGCACAAAAUGCUUUCAUUGACCACUUCUUUCAAAUUUCAUGAAUUCUUUUCUCACUUAGACACAACAAUUGCCAAAACUCUGUGUACCUACAGACUAAUGAUGCACACAUCUACAUACUCUUUUCAAAAUUGUUAAACUUGAGUUCAAAACAAUAACAUAAUACAAAACUGAAUAAGACAGCAAUUUUCUGUAUUUCUACAAUGAUAUUUGAUUGAAAUGUAUUUUGAUUCUAAAAAUUAAAUGCUAUCAAAACAGUUGGACCAACCACAGAUGAUUCCAAUUGUAGCUAAAGACACAUGCGACACUCCUUUAUGUAAUUUCAUUACCAUCUAUAAAAAAGAGGAGAAAUGAGGAAUCGUUUGAAUUAUAACAUAAACAUGGACCAAGCCAGACAUAGAGAAGUGGUUGAAAAAGUAAGAGGAAUACGUAUGCGUGGUGGAAGAAGAACAUACUCACUUACGUACAUGAACUAGUGUCCUGCAACCACUAGUAAAGAAAUAUCAAAAAUGACAUCUGGGGUUUGAAUAAUUAUUGGUUUGACUGUAUAAUCUUUAUAAAAUAAAUAACCAAACACUAAUAAAUCUUUUGAUUUCACAUAUUUUAAUGUUUGUUUAAUGUUUAAUGUUUGUAAAGAAUGGUUGAGAAACACUGUCCUAAAUUAAGGCAUUUAUUAAUAAUAACUAAAAGUAUGAAAAGAUGCCCAAUUUGGACUAAUAAACAUAAUAUAAUAACAAAUAACUCAUGUUUUGUAACUAAUAUAUAACAAACAUUUUGUUUAAAGAAAUCAUAUUUAUUGAUAUAUCAUUACCCUAAAAUAAAUGUUCAAUGUCAUCAAAAAAUGUAAUGUAAAAGUGCCAUUUCAACAUAAAACAAGAAAAUGAAACGGAAUAAAAUAACACAACAACAUCUAAUAAAUGUUCUACAUCAAUGUCAAGGAGAAGCAUUUCUGGUGGAAUUUAGUGACCCUUGAAAAAAGAUAAAUAAGACUGUUUCAAAGCAACAACAUAAACAAACGUUACUGUGCAUGAGUCCCUGCAGAUUAUUGCUGAUAAAUUACAUUAGCCAGCAAGUUAAAAGUAUGUCUAGCCAGUAUUAUUUUGGGUUAUAAUACUAGGAACUAGCUGCAUCGCUGCACUUGCAAAAACGCGAUGACAUCAAUCAGGCCCUUUUCCACAAUUCUAAAUAAAUUGUAUUCCAUAUGACAAAAAAAUACAUUUUUUU